CGGCCACGGCCACCAGAUUUUCACAUCAGAUUUUUUGGGGGGGCCGGACUAGGAUCACUCACCAGAAGUUUCGUGGCGAUAUCUUUAGAAAUGACGAAAUGGGAGGCAAACCAUCAACAUAAAUAUACUGGACAUCUCCUUUCCAUAGGCUCCAAUAUCACGUUUUUGAGGCCAAACGGGAGGUGGCCACCACCGCCAUUUUGACCAUGUCACAGGUUCCAUCAAGCCCAGACAAUUCCAAAAAAGGGAAGAGAGGAGGAGCUGAGGGUGGGGCUGUAAGGCUGGGAUCACCUGACGACACCCGGUCGAACUAGCUACAAGCUGACCUGAAGCUAACCCUGGCUAACCCAAAGCUAACGCGGAGGUGGGAGGAAAGCUAACGGAUGUAGCUCCCUAGCUUCAACUGGAGCUAGGAUGGAACACCCAUCGACCUGAAGCUCACACGAAGUUUAGGUGGAGGUUUGUGGCGCUUUUCCGUGAAAAGUACCUUUCUGUGACAAAAAAAGGAUUAAAUCUGUAAGUUUUAUAAUUUAUUUCCGAAAUGAAAAUAUACUUUUUUGAGCAAGUUUGGAAUAUUUUUAACGUACCGUAUUUUCUGGACUAUAAGUCGCUCCGGAGUCACACCAGCCAUAAACUCUAUAAUGAAGAAGAAAAAAACAUAUAUAAGUCAUAUUUUGGGGGACAUUUUAUUAUUUUUCUUACAAAAUCUGAGAUCAAGCGUUUCACAUUGCAAGACAAGCACCGGUAACAAUAACAGAAUAAACAACGCAGGCACAGCAGUGCGCCACGGUCUCCAGCAGAGGAUGGCGGUGUUUGAAACCCUCCCAGCGGGACAGGGUAACUCAUUCUUGGGUCGGAGUCAGGUCGGAGUCGGCUCGCAGCAGCUCGGUGUAGCCUACAUAUUUUGUUAUAGAAGUCGCUCCGGAGUAUAAGUAGCAGAACCGGCCAGACUAUGUAAAAAAGUGUGAUUUAUAGUCCGGAAAAUAGUAUUUGAGAUAAAUUAGCAGGCUAAAUACAUUUCAUAUCUUUCCAAAACGUAAUACUUGUUUGUAUCUUGUACAGCCAAGUAGCCUUUAUUCUGGACUCAGUACAAUUCACCUAAAGUAAAGAGACAUUAUACAGAUGAAGUAAGCACAAGAUAACUUACUGGAAGAAACAGAAUUAUUAUCAUGAGAACCAGAACAAGACAGCCUGAUAAAGUCACGUUAAAAUAACAGUUAAAAAGUAUGUAUCUAUAAUAGAAAUAAAAAUAUAUUAGAAUUAGUGUAACUCACUGUGAUCCAAACAAUAAAUCAGCAAUAGCUGAUUAGCAAUCAUGAAAUGAGGUCUGGGAGUUUUUAAGUUUCAUUCUUUAAUUACAUUUUUUUCUUAGAUCUGUUAAAAGGUCACCAUGGCAGCCUGUGUAUCUCCAACAUCAGCUACACAUCGCAGCGUCCAUUUGGAUAAUUGGAGACAGCUACGUGAGGCGUGGUGCCCAGAGAGCUGCAGAGACCCUCGGAGACAACCUUGGCCUCCCUGACUUCUGUGUCUCCUGGUUCGGUUGGGGCAGACUGAGGUGGAAAGACCUCCUCCCCUUCUUUUUCUCCUCCCUGCAUGGAAGAGCAGCUCCUGAUGUCCUCAUCAUCCACUGUGGCGGCAAUGACAUGGGGGUGGUCAGCAGUGUGAAACUGGUCAACAUGAUGGAGGACCUGCACCGGCUUCACCUUCUCCACCCUCAUAUGACCAUCAUCAUGUCGUCUAGCACCCAAAGGUGUAGAUGGAGGGCAGGUGUAAAACCUGCUAAAAUUGAGAAGGCCAGGAGAACUUGGCGCGGUUCCAUCGACCCAGUCCAACGCUGAACCCGGCGCGGUUCCACUGGCCCGGCCCAAUGCCGAACCCGGCACGGCUACACCAGCCCGGCCCAACGCCGACCCAGCGCGGUUUCACCGACCCGGCCCAACGCCGAACCCGGCGCGGCUACACCAGCCCGGCCCAACGCCGAACCCGAGGCGGUUCCACCAGAGGUACUUAACCAGGUUCUACCGGGCCUGGAAACAGCAUCGGGUGGAUUCUAUGGUCGGUGACGAGUAGAUACAACGAUCGGAAACAGCGGCGGCAGAGUGUGGAUUGGAGAAGGGUCUGGAAACAGCAAUGGAGGCAUGUGGAUCCUACGGUCGGCUCCUGAACAAGAAGCAGCAAAGUUGCAACUAUAAGUAAAAAUGCCACCUAAAAACUAAGAAGAAAUAGAGGAGAUAAAGAAAGCAUUAGACUUCAUGUCAGAAGAGCUAUCUACAGUUGCUAAGCAGCAAAAGAUGAUCAUGGAUCUCGUAGGAGAAAUUAAAGAGUUAAAACAUCUAAAUGAGGACAAAGAUAGAAGGAUUAUAAGUCUGGAAGGCUAUAUAACAGAACUCGAGCAGUACACCCGCAUGAAUGAUGUCAUCAUCUGCGGAUUGGAGAUCAAGCCCUGGUCUUACGCCAGGGCAGUUACACAGCAGGAAGGCGAGGUGCACACUGACAUGGACACGAACUCUCUGGAGAACAAGGUGACGACCUUCCUUACUAAUAAAGGAAUAGCUAUAUCUAACACAGACAUUGAAGCUUGCCAUCCAUUGCCCCGUAAAAUCAAAGAUGCCAAACCUGCCAUAAAUUUACGAUUCACAAACGGGAAAUUUAAAAAUGCCCUCCUCAAACAAGGGAAAAAUCUCAAAGGAACUGAAAUGUACGUGAAUAAACAUUUAACAAAGAAAAAUGCAGAGAUUGCAAGGAAGGCACGUAUCUUAAAAAAACUGAGAAAAAUACAGUCAACAUGGACAGCAAACUGUAAAAUAUUCAUUUCCAAAGUCUUAGCGAUUAAACACAUAGAGGAGCUGGAAAAGUAUGAGUGACUAUGGAAAUGAAUGCAGGUAAAGUAAACCAUAAGAAUAAUGAUGACACAAUCUUCUGACCACACAGAAUAUAAAGUAUACGAAUUAGAUAACUAUAUAGAUCCAGAAAACUAUCUCUAUGACAAUACAAACAACUGUGAAUAUUUCAUAGAGGAAACCUUUAACAAUAAUGUUAAUAUGGACGGAGCAUUGUCAAUAAUUCACUUCAACAGCAGAAGUCUAAACAAAAAUUUGGGUAAAAUAAAGGACUACUUGAAAAACUUUAAGAAAUUCAAUAUAAUUGCCAUAUCGGAGACCUGGCUAGACAAUGAUAUACUCACUGAAGUGGAAAUAGAUGGAUGUGAACUAUUCACAAUGAACAGGAGAAAUAAAAAAGGAGGUGCAUCUAUGCAGCUAAUGACCUGAGAUGCACAAUGCUCAAAAGUAUGACUGAAACAGUUGAAAACAUCUAUGAAUGCUCAACUCUGGAGAUAAAUAUUGAAAAAUCUCCAAAUAUAAUCAUUUCUUGUAUUUACAGAACACCUGGAAGCUGCCUCCAGACUUUUGCAGAUAGAGUAAACGAGAUAUAUGACAAAGUAAAUAACAGAAAAUCGAUAACAGUAUGUGGUGAUUUCAAAACAGACCUGUUAAAUCCAAACGAACAUGUUAAAACCGCUGAUUUAAUAAACACAAUGUACACCACCAACUUAUUUCCUUUGAUCACAAAACCUUCCAGAAUAACAGUAAAUACAGCAACACUAAUAGACAAUAUAUUCAUAAAUAAAAGAGAAAAUAAAAUAACUAGCGGGUUACUCAUCAACGGUGUUAGGGACCAUCUUCCAGUAUUUGCCAUUAUACAAAACUUGAAAAAUACUGGAAAUAACACAAAAAUAGACAAGCCCAAACUGACCCGGUGCCGAACAGCGGAACACAUUGCAGCGUUUAAAAUGGACUUAAAGAAUGAAUUCUGGGAAGGACUGUUCCAAGUAAAGCAUUUGAAACCUUUUUAACAAAAAUACUUGAAUUAUACAAUAAAAACUGUCCAAUUAGAAAACAAAACAACAAAAUAAUAAGCCAUGGAUGACAAAGGGUCUACAAAAUGCCAGUAAAAAGAAGAAUAGACUAUACAAAACUAUUCAUAAAAACAAGAACAAAAGAGGCAGAAAACAGAUACAAAUCAUAUAAAAACAAACUAACAACUAUAAUUAGAACUAGUAAAAAGAAAUACUAUGACAAAUUACUACAACAGAACAAAAGUAAUACCCAAGGAAUAUGGAAAAUAUUAAAAAAUAUUAUGAAUAAUAACGAUAGCAAAAAAAGCCCAAUUGUGAAAAUGGAAUUCCUAUAAAUGAACAUGGAAAAAUUGCUAACGUACUAAAUGAUUAUUUUGUAAAUAUCAGGACCAAUCUAGCUAAAAAUAUAGGGUAACCCAAAGUUGAAAUGGAUGUUACUGAACACAUAACUGCUAAUAUAAAUACCAUGUUUAUUAAGGACACUGAUGAAAAAGAAGUCAUUUCCACUGUAAAAAAAUGUAAAGACAAUAGAUCAAAAGACUCUGAGGGUUUUGACAUGUCAUUAAGAAAAAUCAUAACAGAAUGUAUUGCAAAACCGUUUGCAUACAUCAAAAUCAAAUCAUUUAAAAUCAUUUAAAUCAAUCAUUUAAAACAGGCAUUUUCCCCAGUAAAAUGAAAAUUGCGAAAGUUAUACCAGUAUAUAAAUCAGGUGAUAAAAAACUGUCAUCCAACUACAGGCCAAUCUCUCUAUUUUCUCAGUACUCCAAAAUAACAUUUGUAAGCAGAUUGGAUGAUUUCAUUGAAAAAAAAUAAUCUAAGUGAGCACCAGUAUGGAUUCAGAACAAAAAGAUCAACGGCAAUGGCAACAAUUAGCAUGGUAGAGGAAAUAGCUAAAGCGAUUGAUAAUAAAAUUAAUACAAUAGGAAUUUAUUUAGAUCUUAACAAAGCCUUUGAUACAAUAGAUCACAAUACCCUGCUAACCAAAUUAUAUAAAUAUGGCGUAAGAGUGUCGCGUGCCCGUCCCAUUUACCGGUUCCUUUAAAACCCAGUUCCGUUAGAACUUAUGAGACGGUGCAUCCAUCAGGGUUCGGGGGUGUGUCGACGAGUAUAAUCGUACUAGACCCGGGUUUGGACUACCUAAUUAGAAUCUUGUCUUUUAUUUUAAAGGUGAAAUAACUUGCACGAAUAGCCAGCCCCAGAGUAUUACACUUCUUUUAAACUCGUUACCUUUUGGUUAAGAUACUAGAGAGAAGUCUGGAGGCAAGCCAAGCCUCUCAGCAAUUGUUUGGAUUACCCGGAAUUAAUUGCGCCUCUAACAGCUUAUGUGGGAGGUUGGUAACUAUAAAAUGAUUUAUGCUAGUUGAUCAGGCUAUCAUAAUUUUAUCAAUUUAUUUAUUAAUCCAACCUUCCAGCUGAUUAGAGACUUUUUCAACCUGCAAUCAGAGCCAAAAUAACCUCGAAUAUUUUGCUUUUAUCGCCCUUAAGACAACUCGUUACUCGCAAGGAGGGGAAAGUUAAAACUUCCCUUAUCUUAAGGUUUCUUUAUAUUAUUCUGUUAUAAACUGUAAAGUAAGUCCUGAUAAUUCAGAGACCGAUCUUCGACAUGCUUACCUCUGUGCAAUUAUGGCCAGGGCCCCAAACGUGAAGCUUUAGAGAAAACCUGAAAGAAUCAGGAUUAUGUUUCUUUUUCAAAAAAGGUUUAUUACAAAAUCAAAAUACAAAAAAUGGGUAAAGUGAAAAACA